GGGCGACGAUGGUCGAUGGCAACGGUCGAAAUCGACCAUCACCGACCUAUUUCGGGUGGUAACAGGGCGAAAACAGUCCCAAUCAAUGGUACCGCUCGAUAACGAGCGAUCCGCCUACCUAUCUGCUAGUGGACCGGUACGUACCGUCCCGUACAGACGAUAUCAUUAGAAAUUAGAAACCCUGCUCUUGAGUACAUUAGAGUUCAUCAUGAGGUGAUCAUAACAAGGGUUGAGAUAGGCACAAGGAUAGAGAUCCACGGGGCACAAUAAAAUUGAAGUUCAGUGGAGGAGGAAAAUUACAGCCUAGUAAAGGAAAAAUGAGAUGCCCAUGAAAGACUUUUCAAGUUUGGUAAAAGUAUCAUGUUUCUGCCCCAAAAAAUAAUGACAUAAAAACCUAAAUAAAACCAAUAAAAGAAUUGGGUUCACCAAACAAAAAUAUGAAAUCAACUUAAGUGAAACUACAGAGUCAGUAUGUGGCGUGAAUGGAUAUGUAAAAUCUUACAUAUGUUUAUGCAGCCUCACAUGACCAUCUCACAUAUGUUUAUGCAGCCUCAGUAUGUGGCGUGAAUGGAUAUGUAAAAUCUUGCGCACUGAAAUAAGCAUGAAAACACAUUUGUAUAUGUUCACAUUACCCGGUCUUUACUACUGCUUCAUAUAUUCUAUUAUUUGGUUUCAUGACAUAUGAUCUGUGAUAAUAUGAGAUUCAUCACUUUAGGAUUUUUACUCAUUUCAUAUGACUUCGACCUUGAAUAGGUUCUUAGACUUUACGGAUGCUGAUUUUUAUAUUUUAAUUGAACCUCAUAAGCAGCCAGGUAAGACAUGUUUGAUACGCAAUACCUGAGGUUCCUCAUACCAUAACAACUAAUUAGAGCAUUAAUUUAAACACAAUCACAAGACUAGCCUGCCUCAAUCAAUCUUCAGCAUAGAGUAUCAACAGAAGCAAAAUGCUUUACUUCCAGAGUAAGUCUUCCCUUUUCACACGAUGAAUGAAUCCCAUGAAUCAACGAUAGCUUACCCUUAGAGAGCACCAGUCAGAUUUGUAACUUGACAAUUAAUCUCUUACAUGAUACUAACAUUUAUAAUAACUCAAAGAUCAUUGCUUAUGAAUUAGCAACACGACAGACAGAUCAAAGAAUAAAAAAAACCUUGCAGAAGUUGCCAACUUCGGCACCUAUGAGUGUGCCAAAAUAAGUUGAAAUUAACAUGCUGUAAAA
rnacentral:lncRNA from 1 species